GGCUGCUCUGGAGGUAGUGAGUUAUUUCAGUUGAUUGUUCAUGGUUAGAAAUCAAACUCCUUUUUCUAUUCUUGCCCCUAUUUUCUCACUACUAGAGUAGUCUUAA
rnacentral:Y_RNA from 1 species